rnacentral:rRNA from 1 species
CCUACGGGAGGCUGCAGUGGGGAAUAUUGGACAAUGGGGGCAACCCUGAUCCAGCCAUGCCGCGUGUGUGAAGAAGGCCCUCGGGUUGUAAAGCACUUUCAGUGAGGAAGAACGCCUGGUGGUUAAUACCCAUCAGGAAAGACAUCACUCACAGAAGAAGCACCGGCUAACUCCGUCCCAGCAGCCGCGGUAAUACGGAGGGUGCGAGCGUUAAUCGGAAUUACUGGGCGUAAAGCGCGCGUAGGUGGCUUGAUAAGCCGGUUGUGAAAGCCCCGGGCUCAACCUGGGAACGGCAUCCGGAACUGUCAAGCUAGAGUGCAGGAGAGGAAGGUAGAAUUCCCGGUGUAGCGGUGAAAUGCGUAGAGAUCGGGAGGAAUACCAGUGGCGAAGGCGGCCUUCUGGACUGACACUGACACUGAGGUGCGAAAGCGUGGGUAGCAAACAGGAUUAGAUACCCUUGUAGUC